AGGUCAUUGAGGGUAUUUAUUCUUUUGCAAGAAAUCGUUCGGAUGCAUACGGUGAUGAUGAAUUGAACAUUGCUCAACUUCGACUGGAAAAUGAGGUGGAAUACAUUUACCAAAGCUACAACAUAUACAGUGAAUCGGCAGAAGCGGUUGGAAAUGUUGCGGGUCAUUCUCCGUAUAGCACGACUAUUACACCGCUACUAGCUGAUGAUACUUUUAAGGUUUGCACACCCGUAUAUGACCCCUUGUUCGGUAUCGACGAAUGCUGGCAAAAACAUCACUGGCAAAGGGGUUGUCAUAGCAAUCGCCGACGUAGGCGUAGAUGCCGAUCAUCCGAAAUUCCACGACAAAAUUAUGCAUGCACUUAGCUAUAAUUUCGUUGGAAAAAACACUAAUUACGGCCCGGAAAAUUAUCCUACUCGACAGGAUUCGACGAACUUAAC